rnacentral:rRNA from 1 species
UUCCGGUUGAUCCCGCCGGACCUGACUGCUAUCGGAUUGAUACUAAGCCAUGCGAGUCAUUGUAGCAAUACAAGGCAGACGGCUCAGUAACGCGUAGUCAACCUAACCUAUGGACGGGAAUAACCUCGGGAAACUGAGAAUAAUGCCCGAUAGAACAUUAUGCCUGGAAUGGUUUAUGUUCCAAAUGAUUUAUCGCCGUAGGAUGGGACUGCGGCCUAUCAGUUUGUUGGUGAGGUAAUGGCCCACCAAGACUAUUACAGGUACGGGCUCUGAGAGGAGUAGCCCGGAGAUGGGUACUGAGACACGGACCCAGGCCCUAUGGGGCGCAGCAGGCGAGAAAACUUUGCAAUGUGCGAAAGCACGACAAGGUUAAUCCGAGUGGUUUCUGCUAAAGGAACCUUUUGUCGGUCCUAGAAACACCGAUGAAUAAGGGGUGGGCAAGUUCUGGUGUCAGCCGCCGCGGUAAAACCAGCACCUCAAGUGGUCAGGAUGAUUAUUGGGCCUAAAGCAUCCGUAGCCUGCUUUGUUAGUUUUCGGUUAAAUCUGUACGCUCAACGUACAGGCUGCCGGGAAUACUGCAAAGCUAGGGAGUGGGAGAGGUAGACGGUACUCGGUAGGAAGGGGUAAAAUCCUUUGAUCUAUUGAUGACCACCUGUGGCGAAGGCGGUCUACCAGAACACGUCCGACGGUGAGGGAUGAAAGCUGGGGGAGCAAACCGGAUUAGAUACCCGGGUAGUCCCAGCCGUAAACCAUGCAAACUCAGUGAUGCAUUGGCUUGUGGCCAAUGCAGUGCUGCAGGGAAGCCGUUAAGUUUGCCGCCUGGGAAGUACGUACGCAAGUAUGAAACUUAAAGGAAUUGGCGGGGGAGCACCACAAGGCGUGAAGCCUGCGGUUCAAUUGGAGUCAACGCC